UACGGAGGAUCCGAGCGUUAUCCGGAUUUAUUGGGUUUAAAGGGAGCGUAGGCGGAUUAUUAAGUCAGUUGUGAAAGUUUGCGGCUCAACCGUAAAAUUGCAGUUGAUACUGGUAGUCUUGAGUGCAGUAGAGGUAAGCGGAGUUCGUGGUGUAGCGGUGAAAUGCUUAGAUAUCACGAAGAACUCCAAUUGCGAAGGCAGCUUGCUGGACUGUAACUGACGCUGAUGCUCGAAAGUGUGGGUAUCAAACAGGAUUAGAUA
rnacentral:rRNA from 1 species